rnacentral:tRNA from 1 species
GGGGCUGUAGCUCAGGGGUAGAGUGCUCACCUAGCAUGUGUGAGGAACUGGGUUUGAUCCUCAGCACCACA